AGUGAACGCUGGCGGUAGGCCUAACACAUGCAAGUCGAACGGCAGCACAGUAAGAGCUUGCUCUUACGGGUGGCGAGUGGCGGACGGGUGAGGAAUACAUCGGAAUCUACUUUUUCGUGGGGGAUAACGUAGGGGAACUUACGCUAAUACCGCAUACGACCUACGGGUGAAAGCAGGGGAUCUUCGGACCUUGCGCGAUUGAAUGAGCCGAUGUCGGAUUAGCUAGUUGGCGGGGUAAAGGCCCACCAAGGCGACGAUCCGUAGCUGGUCUGAGAGGAUGAUCAGCCACACUGUAACUGAGACACGGUCCAGACUCCUACGGGGGGCAGCAGUGGGGAAUAUUGGACAAUGGGCGCAAGCCUGAUCCAGCCAUACCGCGUGGGUGAAGAAGGCCUUCGGGUUGUAAAGCCCUUUUGUUGGGAAAGAAAAGCAGCAGGUUAAUACCCCGCUGUUCUGACGGUACCCAAAGAGUAAGCACCGGCUAACUUCGUG
rnacentral:rRNA from 1 species